UAGCUAGUUGGUGAGGUAACGGCCCACCAAGGCGACGAUCGGUAGCCGGACUGAGAGGUUGAACGGCCACAUUGGGACUGAGACACGGCCCAGACUCCUACGGGAGGCAGCAGUGGGGAAUAUUGCACAAUGGGGGAAACCCUGAUGCAGCGACGCCGCGUGGAGGAAGAAGGUCUUCGGAUUGUAAACUCCUGUUGUUGGGGAAGAUAAUGACGGUACCCAACAAGGAAGUGACGGCUAACUACGUGCCAGCAGCCGCGGUAAAACGUAGGUCACAAGCGUUGUCCGGAAUUACUGGGUGUAAAGGGAGCGCAGGCGGGAAGACAAGUUGGAAGUGAAAUCUAUGGGCUCAACCCAUAAACUGCUUUCAAAACUGUUUUUCUUGAGUAGUGCAGAGGUAGGCGGAAUUCCCGGUGUAGCGGUGGAAUGCGUAGAUAUCGGGAGGAACACCAGUGGCGAAGGCGGCCUACUGGGCACCAACUGACGCUGAGGCUCGAAAGUGUGGGUAGCAAACAGGAUUAGAUACCCUGGUAGUCCACACCGUAAACGAUGAUUACUAGGUGUUGGAGGAUUGACCCCUUCAGUGCCGCAGUUAACACAAUAAGUAAUCCACCUGGGGAGUACGACCGCAAGGUUGAAACUCAAAGGAAUUGACGGGGGCCCGCACAAGCAGUGGAGUAUGUGGUUUAAUUCGACGCAACGCGAAGAACCUUACCAAGUCUUGACAUCCCUUGACAGGCAUAGAAAUAUGUUUUCUCUUCGGAGCAAGGAGACAGGUGGUGCAUGGUUGUCGUCAGCUCGUGUCGUGAGAUGUUGGGUUAAGUCCCGCAACGAGCGCAACCCUUAUGGUCAGUUACUACGCAAGAGGACUCUGGCCAGACUGCCGUUGACAAAACGGAGGAAGGUGGGGAUGACGUCAAAUCAUCAUGCCCUUUAUGACUUGGGCUACACACGUACUACAAUGGCGUUAAACAAAGAGAAGCGAGACCGCGAGGUGGAGCAAAACUCAGAAACAACGUCCCAGUUCGGACUGCAGGCUGCAACUCGCCUGCACGAAGUCGGAAUUGCUAGUAAUCGUGGAUCAGCAUGCCACGGUGAAUACGUUCCCGGGCCUUGUACACACCGCCCGUCACACCAUGAGAGCCGGGGGGACCCGAAGUCGGUAGUCUAACCGCAAGGAGGACGCCGCCGAAGGUAAAACUGGUGAUUGGGGUGAAGUCGUAACAAGGUAACCGUACUAGUACGAGACCUG
rnacentral:rRNA from 1 species